ACCUUUGAGCUCAGCAGCAUAUGGUCUAAAGCUCCACUAAUGAUGUGAAAGCUUGAAUUUCCCAUGUUAUGAAAUCCAAUGAAUAUGGAGAUGAAGCUCAAACCCAAUUCAGGAACAAACUACAUCUGAGCAGCUUCAGAAA
rnacentral:lncRNA from 12 species